CCUACGGGGGCUGCAGUGGGGAAUAUUGGACAAUGGGCGAAAGCCUGAUCUAGCCAUGCCGCGUGUGUGAAGAAGGCCUUCGGGUUGUAAAGCACUUUCAGUGGGGAAGAAAGCCUUGGGGCUAAUACCCUCGAGGAAGGACAUCACCCACAGAAGAAGCACCGGCUAACUCCGUGCCAGCAGCCGCGGUAAUACGGAGGGUGCGAGCGUUAAUCGGAAUUACUGGGCGUAAAGCGCGCGUAGGCGGUCUGAUAAGCCGGUUGUGAAAGCCCCGGGCUCAACCUGGGAACGGCAUCCGGAACUGUCAGGCUAGAGUGCAGGAGAGGAAGGUAGAAUUCCCGGUGUAGCGGUGAAAUGCGUAGAGAUCGGGAGGAAUACCAGUGGCGAAGGCGGCCUUCUGGACUGACACUGACGCUGAGGUGCGAAAGCGUGGGUAGCAAACAGGAUUAGAUACCCGAGUAGUC
rnacentral:rRNA from 1 species